rnacentral:rRNA from 1 species
AUUGAACGCUGGCGGCAGGCCUAACACAUGCAAGUCGAGCGAGCGGCGGACGGGUGAGUAAUGUAUGGGGACUGCCCGAUAGAGGGGGAUAACUACUGGAAACGGUAGCUAAUACCGCAUACUAUCGGAUAACCCAUAUGGGAUUAGCUAGUAGGUGCGGUAAUGGCUCACCUAGGCGACGAUCCCUAGCUGGUCGGAGAGGAUGAUCAGCCACUAUGGGACGGAGACAGGGCCCGGACUCCUACGGAGGCAGCAUUGGGGAAUAUUGCAAAAUGGGCGCAAGCCUGAUACAGCCAUCCCGGGUGUAUGAUGAAGGCCUUGGGGUUGAAAAGUACUUUGGUCAGGGAAGCGGUACCUGCAGAAUAAGCACCGGCUAACUACGUGCCAGCAGCCGCGGUAAUUC